rnacentral:rRNA from 1 species
AGUGAACGCUGGCGGUAGGCCUAACACAUGCAAGUCGAACGGCCUCACCGUAAGUGCUUGCUCUUACGGGUGGCGAGUGGCGGAAGGUUGAGGAAUGCAUCGGAAUAUACUUUUUCGUGUGGGCUAACGUAGGGAAAGUUACGCUAGUACCAGAUACGACCUACGUGUGAAAGCCGGGGAUCUUCGAGCCUUUCGCGAUUGAAUGGGCCGAUGUCGGAUUAGCUAGGUGGCGGGGUAAAGGCACAACAAGGCGACGAUGCGUAGCUGGUCUGAGAGGAAGAAUAGCCAGACUGGAAGUGAGACACGGUCCAGACUCCGAAGGGAGGCAGCAGCGGGGAAUAUUGGGGGAGGGGGGCAAGCGUGAUCCAGCCGUACCGCGGGGGUGAAGAAGGACUCAGGGUUGGAAAGCGCUGUUGUUGUGAAAGAAAAGCAGCAGGUUAAUACCCCGCUGUUCUGACGGUACCCAAAGAAUAAGCACCGGCUAACUUCGUG